UACAGAGGGGGCAAGCGUUGUUCGGAAUUACUGGGCGUAAAGGCGCGUAGGCGGCCUGCUAAGUCGAACGUGAAAUCCCCGGGCUCAACCCGGGAACUGCGUCCGAUACUGGUUGGCUUGAAUCCGGGAGAGGGAUGCGGAAUUCCAGGUGUAGCGGUGAAAUGCGUAGAUAUCUGGAGGAACACCGGUGGCGAAGGCGGCAUCCUGGACCGGCAUUGACGCUGAGGCGCGAAAAGCCAGGGGAGCAAACGGG
rnacentral:rRNA from 1 species